rnacentral:rRNA from 1 species
CGGCAACAGCUCAAAUUUGAAAUCUGGCCCCCGCGGUCCGAGUUGUAAUUUGUAGAGGAUGCUUUUGGUGCGGUGCCUUCCGAGUUCCCUGGAACGGGACGCCAUAGAGGGUGAGAGCCCCGUCUGGUUGGACACCAAUCCUCUGUAAAGCUCCUUCGACGAGUCGAGUAGUUUGGGAAUGCUGCUCUAAAUGGGAGGUAUAUGUCUUCUAAAGCUAAAUACCGGCCAGAGACCGAUAGCGCACAAGUAGAGUGAUCGAAAGAUGAAAAGCACUUUGAAAAGAGGGUUAAAUAGUACGUGAAAUUGUUGAAAGGGAAGCGUUUGUGACCAGACUUGGGCUCGGUCAAUCAUCCAGCGUUCUCGCUGGUGCACUUGGCCGGCCCAGGCCAGCAUCAGUUUGCCGCGGGGGAGAAAGGUUUCGGGAACGUAGCUCCUCGGAGUGUUAUAGCCCGUUGCGUAAUACCCUGCGGCGGACUGAGGUUCGCGCAUCUGCUAGGAUGCUGGCGUAAUGGUCAUCAACGACCCGUCUUGAAACACGGACCAAGGAGUCGUCUUCGUAUGCGAGUGUUCGGGUGUCAAACCCCUACGCGUAAUGAAAGUGAACGGAGGUGGGAGCCUCGGCGCACCAUCGACCGAUCCUGAUGUUUUCGGAUGGAUUUGAGUAAGAGCAUACGGGGCCGGACCCGAAAGAAGGUGAACUAUGCCUGUAUAGGGUGAAGCCAGAGGAAACUCUGGUGGAGGCUCGCAGCGGUUCUGACGUGCAAAUCGAUCGUCAAAUAUGGGCAUGGGGGCGAA